rnacentral:lncRNA from 1 species
GCCUUGGACGGCUAUAUGCGUUUACGCUCCUAACGUAGCACGGGAGCGGGAAGUCUUUUUUCGUCAAGUUCAGCAGCACAUAAAUUGUGAAAGGCAUGUCA